rnacentral:rRNA from 1 species
GACGAACGCUGGCGGCGUGCUUAACACAUGCAAGUCGAACGGUGAAGCGCCUUACUUUUUGGUGGGUGUGGAUGAGUGGCGAACGGGUGAGUAACACGUGAGUAACCUGCCCCCUUCUUCUGGAUAACCGCAUGAAAGUGUGGCUAAUACGGGAUAUUCUGGGUCUGUCGCAUGAUGGGUCUGGGAAAGAUAUUGUUUCGGUGGGGGAUGGGCUCGCGGCCUAUCAGCUUGUUGGUGGGGUGAUGGCCUACCAAGGCGGUGACGGGUAGCCGGCCUGAGAGGGUGGACGGUCACACUGGGACUGAGACACGGCCCAGACUCCUACGGGAGGCAGCAGUGGGGAAUAUUGCACAAUGGGCGCAAGCCUGAUGCAGCGACGCCGCGUGAGGGAUGGAGGCCUUCGGGUUGUGAACCUCUUUCGCCAGUGAAGCAGGCCUGCCUCGUUUGUGGGUGGGUUGACGGUAGCUGGAUAAGAAGCGCCGGCUAACUACGUG